GACGAACGCUGGCGGCGUGCUUAACACAUGCAAGUCGAACGAAGAGCGAUGGAAGCUUGCUUCUAUCAAUCUUAGUGGCGAACGGGUGAGUAACGCGUAAUCAACCUGCCCUUCAGAGGGGGACAACAGUUGGAAACGACUGCUAAUACCGCAUACGAUCUAAUCUCGGCAUCGAGGAUAGAUGAAAGGUGGCCCCUACAUGUAAGCUAUCACUGAAGGAGGGGAUUGCGUCUGAUUAGCUAGUUGGAGGGGUAACGGCCCACCAAGGCGAUGAUCAGUAGCCGGUCUGAGAGGAUGGACGGCCACAUUGGGACUGCGACACGGCCCAGACUCCUACGGGAGGCAGCAGUGGGGAAUCUCCCGCAAUGGACGAAAGUCUGACGGAGCAACGCCGCGUGAGUGAUGACGGCCUUCGGGUUGUAAAGCUCUGUUAAUCGGGACGAAAGGCCUUCUUGCGAAUAGUGAGAAGGAUUGACGGUACCGGAAUAGAAAGCCACGGCUAACUACGUG
rnacentral:rRNA from 1 species